AGGCUCCACUUGCUAGUUCAGCAAUUCCUCCCAGUCUUCCACCCAAGGCUCCACUUAAUCUUUCAGCAACUCCUCCCAGACGUCGACCCAUGGAAGAGGAGGCUCCAAUUCAUUAUUCAGCAAUUCUCCCCAGUCUUCCAACCAUGGUUCGUCACUUCAGCACAAACUGCAGAUUUGUUAAAGCU